CAACAACAGUCGGUAGGCUGUC
rnacentral:miRNA from 3 species